GGUUAUGGCUCAGUGAUAGAGCGCUCGCCUAACAUGUAUGAAGCACUGGGUUCGAUCCUCAGCACCA
rnacentral:tRNA from 1 species